rnacentral:tRNA from 1 species
GGAAAGAUUCCGGAGUGGCCAAACGGGUUGGACUGUAAAUCCAAUGAUUUUAAUCUUCAAGGGUUCGAAUCCCUUUCUUUCUA